UUAAAGGUCUCAUCCUGAGGUUUCCUAUCUGGGGCGAUCCUGCUGAUGACAACUGCUUUGAGGAUGAAGUGUACUGGGAGGUCCCUGAGGAUGAGGAGUCCAUCCCGCCUGUUUUGGAGUACAACAACCACAUGAUACACAAGCACCAAGACAUAUCUGAGUCAAACUUCUCUGUGGAGCAAAGUUAGAGCUGCACAACAGGAGACCGACCCUCUCAUGUCACCUUGAACUUGAUAUAACUGUGAAACAACACAAAGAAAUGGAGGAAGACAAUCUGUAAGACAUGACACAUUUUAUUACAUGGAGGUCAAUCUGUCUCACACACAUUUAUUGGGAAACUUAAAGUUAUAACCAAGCUGCAUAAAACAGUGACCAAAAAAAUACAGAAAAAAAAUCUGAUGAGCCAGUAUUGCUCUAAAAACACAAACUGGAAUUACUUUCUAAUUUAUUUCAAAAGAAGCUUUAUAUACACUGACUCAAUGCAGUGUGAUGAGAAGACAAUGUGUUUCUAAGUUAUAAUGUAUCGAAGAACUGAGAGAUACUGUUAAUGAGUUUGGAAACACUGUACUGUCUACAUUAGAGUUAAUCCUUCCUAUAAAGGACUAAACAACACUCAGAAGUCCCACCUUUUAAUUGCAAAUGUUACCAUUUAUAAUGAUUGCAAAUGUAUUUCUUUGAAAAUAUUUUGCAUAAAAAGCCUUUAGAAAUCAUAUACUUAUGCCGCUAAACUAAGCUGUCUUUGAACUCUGCUACCUAUUUCUUUCAAACUAUAUGUAUAGAUCUUUGUAAGUUGUAUAUACAAAUCUAUUCUGCUUUUUGUUUGUUGCAUAAAUGACUUGUGAGUAACUGUAGUAACUUUAAUACAUUGUUAGCAGUUUGCUUGGUGUAGUGUUGAAGGUGACUUCUGAUACACUAUAUGUGAUUGUGUUUUACAAUCUGCUUGUUGUAUUAUUCUGUAUUGUAUGUUUAGAGUAGCUGAUAAACUCAAAUAAAGUAUAAAGUUAUAUUGUCCUUAC